UACAGAGGGGGCAAGCGUUGUUCGGAAUUACUGGGCGUAAAGGGCGCGUAGGCGGCCUGUUAAGUCGAACGUGAAAUCCCCGGGCUCAACCCGGGAACUGCGUCCGAUACUGGCAGGCUUGAAUCCGGGAGAGGGAUGCGGAAUUCCAGGUGUAGCGGUGAAAUGCGUAGAGAUCGGGAAGAACAUCGGUGGCGAAAGCGCUCUACUGGGCCAUAACUGACACUCAGGGACGAAAGCUAGGGGAGCGAAUGGG
rnacentral:rRNA from 1 species